GCUCCGUUAGCUUAGUCGGUAAAGCAUCCUACUUAUGCGAAUAGUUACGAUUCACAUGCCUGACAUAGGAAGAUCAUGGGUUCGAUUCCCUUACGGAGCA
rnacentral:tRNA from 1 species